rnacentral:rRNA from 1 species
GACGAACGCUGGCGGCGUGCUUAACACAUGCAAGUCGAGCGAUGAAGUUUCCUUCGGGAAACGGAUUAGCGGCGGACGGGUGAGUAACACGUGGGUAACCUGCCUCAUAGAGGGGAAUAGCCUUCCGAAAGGAAGAUUAAUACCGCAUAAGAUUGUAAUGCCGCAUGGCAUAGCAAUUAAAGGAGCAAUCCGCUAUGAGAUGGACCCGCGUCGCAUUAGCUAGUUGGUGAGGUAACGGCUCACCAAGGCGACGAUGCGUAGCCGACCUGAGAGGGUGAUCGGCCACAUUGGGACUGAGACAUGGCCCAGACUCCUACGGGAGGCAGCAGUAGGGAAUUUUCGGCAAUGGGGGAAACCCUGACCGAGCAACGCCGCGUGGGGGAAGAAGGCCUUCGGGUCGUAAACCUCUGUCUUUGGGGACGAUAAUGACGGUACCCGAGGAGGAAGCCCCGGCUAACUACGUGCCAGCAGCCGCGGUAAUACGUAGGGGGCGAGCGUUGUCCGGAAUCACUGGGCGUAAAGGGCGUGUAGGCGGCCUGUUAAGUCAGGCGUGAAAACCCCGGGCUUAACCUGGGGACUGCGCUUGAAACUGGCGGGCUUGAGGGCAGGAGAGGAAAGUGGAGUUCCCGGUGUAGCGGUGAUAUGCGUAGAUACCGGGAGGAACACCAGUGGC